rnacentral:rRNA from 1 species
UGUCCUACGGGAGGCAGCAGUGAGGAAUAUUGGUCAAUGGACGGAAGUCUGAACCAGCCAUGCCGCGUGAAGGAUGAAGGCGUUCUGCGUUGUAAACUUCUUUUAUCUGGGAAGAAACCACAGAUUUCUAUUUGUGUUGACGGUACCAGAUGAAUAAGCACCGGCUAACUCCGUGCCAGCAGCCGCGGUAAUACGGAGGGUGCGAGCGUUAUCCGGAUUUACUGGGUUUAAAGGGUGCGUAGGCGGGCUAUUAAGUCAGAGGUGAAAUCUCCGGGCUCAACCUGGAAACUGCCUUUGAUACUAUUAGCCUUGAAUUAUGUUGAGGUUGGCGGAAUAUAACAUGUAGCGGUGAAAUGCUUAGAUAUGUUAUGGAACACCGAUUGCGAAGGCAGCUGGCUAAACAUAUAUUGACGCUGAUGCACGAAAGCGUGGGUAGCGAACAGGAUUAGAUACCCUGGUAGUCUCU